GACGAACGCUGGCGGCGUGCUUAACACAUGCAAGUCGAACGGAAAGGCCCUGCUUUUGUUGGGUGCUCGAGUGGCGAACGGGUGAGUAACACGUGAGUAACCUGCCCUUGACUUUGGGAUAACAUUAGGGGAACCGGGGCCUAAUCCGGAAUGGAACUCUUACUGCAUGGGGGGGGUUGGAAAGGUUCGGCGGUUGGGGAUGGACUCGUGGCUUAUCAGUUUGUUGGUGGGUUAGUGGCUUACCAAGGUUUUGAGGGGUAGCCGGCCUGAGAGGGUGACCGGCCACAUUGGGACUGAGAUAGGGCCCAGACGCCAACGGGAGGCAGCAGGGGAGAAUAUUGCACAAUAGGCGGACGCCUGAUGCAGCAACGCCGCGUGCGGAAUGCCGGCUUUCGGGUUGUAAACAGCUUUCGACUGUGACGAAGCGUGAGUGACGGUAAUGGGUAAGGAAGCCCCGGCUAACUACGUG
rnacentral:rRNA from 1 species